UCCACGCGCUUCCGAAAAACUUCCCCGUCCUCGCGCUCCUCCGCUCGCCGUCUUCUUCUAACGCCGUCAGGUCCGUUCUCGACUUCGAUUUCGAUUACACCGAUGAUGAAGACGAAGAUCCAGAUCAAGACCAAGACUAUCGGAGCUACCUAAAAGGUAAGGCAACUCAAGCUAAUUAGCAUCAACCAAAAAAAAUAAAAUAUUUGUAAUUUUGUAUAAAGCAAAAAAGCCUACCUACGUUUGACAAAAAGCUCCAUAUGUAUACUAUGGAGUGUGUGUUGAUCAAAUCGGCUUAAUUAGAUGUUUUGAGUUCGUGUUCUAAAUAUCCAAUUAUCAUAAAUAUUUGGAGGGAAAUUUUUAUUGUCUAUAAUAAUUUUAUCCGCCAUUUUAGAAGAGAUACCUGCGUGGUUUAUUUAUAUAAAAAACAGCUCAAUAUGUAAUUCUUUCGUUUAAAAUAAAAAAAAAAAUUGUUUUAGUUCUCACUUACUUCAAAGUUGUUGUUGGAUCUGUCUGACAGACGAUGAAGUACUGUGGCGGAACGGUGGUGGAGGAUUGAGGCUGGUGCGGCGGAUUGGAGAGGGCGGGAGGGCGG
rnacentral:lncRNA from 1 species